GAUGAACGCUAGCGGCAGGCCUAAUACAUGCAAGUCGAACGGUGUAGCAAUACACAGUGGCGCACGGGUGCGUAACACGUAUGCAACCUACCUUACAUUGGGGGAUAGCCUUUCGAAAGGGAGAUUAAUACCGCAUAAGACGGUAACUAGGCAUCUAGUAGCUGUUAACGAUUUAUCGAUGUAAGCUGGGCAUGCGUCCAAUUAGUUAGUUGGCGAGGUAAUGGCUCACCAAGACGAUGAUUGGUAGGGGAACUGAGAGGUCAAUCCCCCACACUGGCACUGAGAUACGGGCCAGACUCCUACGGGAGGCAGCAGUAGGGAAUAUUGGGCAAUGGGCGCAAGCCUGACCCAGCCAUGCCGCGUGCAGGAAGAAGGCGUUAUGCGUUGUAAACUGCUUUUAUGCAGGAAGAAACGACCCUUGCGAGGGGCAUUGACGGUACUGUGUGAAUAAGCACCGGCUAACUCCGUGCCAGCAGCCGCAGUAAUAC
rnacentral:rRNA from 1 species